GCUCUCUGUAGAAUAAUUCCGAUCAUAUCCACGUAAGAAUUUAAUAAGUUGUAAGUUGGAUUCUCUUUCUCUCUUCUUCUUCAUCAUCAUCUUCUUGUAUAAUUUUCCUGGUGCAAAUUAUAUUAAUGAAUUUGUAGGAAACUUGAUGAAAAGAUUAUAACAAUGCACACUAUCUCUUUGAUGAAAUGUUUGUUCAUAAGCAUAUAUAGAUGAUUCUCAAUCUUUACUUUCGUUCUUCUUCUUCUUUAACUGAAUUUGAAUAACAAGAGUCUUAAUUUGUUUUCAUUUUCUUCUUCUAUUAUAUUUCUUUGUUAAUCAUCUUGUUUACUUUUAUUAUUCUAUUCUCAUUUUCUUGGUAUUUAAUUCAUUGUUUUUACAGGUUCAUUGCUCAUCACCAUCAUCAUCAUCAUCAACUUCUUCUUGUUAUUACUUCUUUGUAAUUCAUUCAUAACCACAAAUAUGGACAAUGAGAAUUCUUCUUCACCUUCUACUUCUGGUAGCAAUGUUACCCCCAAUAAAAGAUCACACUUACAAAGCUCAUCAAGAAGACUCCCUACAUCAUUGGUUCUUGAGAUUUUCGGCAAACUACCUGUUAAGACUCUCUGUAGAUUAAAGUGUGUUUCUAAAGA
rnacentral:lncRNA from 1 species